rnacentral:lncRNA from 1 species
AAAUGACUUGAAUGAGGGAAAAAUAAACUUGGCUGAUGAAGAUUCUGAGAAACAUAAUCAAGAACUGAUCUUAAUCACAAGAUGGCCUCUAUAACACAAUUACAGUCUCUCUCCUACUGGGUGUCUGGCUUUACAUAAAGUGACAUAGAAGAAUCAUUGGUCAAGGCAAUGGCUUUCAGUGUUUCUGCUUUGAAAGAAAAUG